rnacentral:lncRNA from 1 species
GGACUUCAUUUGGCCCGUUUGUUUUGGUGUAAGUUCCGUUAUUUGUUUUGAUGUAAGUGAAAAAUAUAAUGUAACUCAAGUUAUGUUAGAGCUCUACUUCACCUACUCUCGACUUCCUCCUCUAAAGUGUCGAACUCGACUUUCACUGCAAUCAACUUCCUCUAAAAAAUUUAUUAAACAGUAAAACCUAAACUCUACUUCCUUUAUAAUGGGUUAGAAUUACCUUAUUUAUAAUAAAUUAGAAUUAUCUUUAAAUAAUAAUAAAAAAAUUAAUUAUAUAAUAGAUUAAAUUUUAUAGUAAUAAAUUUACUACUAUAUUUAGGAGAUAAUGAGAUCCACUUACUUACAUCAAAACAAACAACGGAACUCAAAAAAUUAAUUUUACCAGCACAAAGUUACACCAAAACAAACAACAGAAGUGAUUGAAUUUAACUUUCAGAAGGUACGAGUUACGUCAAAACAAACAAUAAAAAAAUAAUCACACUUCAUGAAAACUCAAACACCACUACACUUGACUUACGUUGAAUCUACAAAUACGUUAAUCCAAACGCCCCUUAGCCCU